AGCGCGCGCGGCGCUGAGGGGGCCCGGCGGGGUCCGCCCGAGGGGGCGGCUCGGGCCGCGGCGCUGGCGGGGGAGCGGCAGCGGCGGCAGCCGCGCCGCUCUGAUGAGUCACGCGAAGGCAGCCAGACGCGUAGGUUCCUCACAGGAACCCGGAGGAAACCUGAGCGCAACAUCGCUCGUUACCUAAUCCCUGCCUCCUUCGGGGCUUCCCUGGAGCUUCCGCCGCCGCCGGCGGCGCCUCCGCGGCCGCCGUCCCCUCAGGGGCUCGCCCCGCCGUGAGGGGACGGCGCUGUCCCGCCGAGCCGCGGCCCGGGCCGGGGCCAGCAGCAGCCUCGGAGAGCGGGCUCGACAUCGGAAUGUUUGCGUGAGGGGAAGUGGCCACGAGAAAGGAAGAGGCCACGAACAAAAGAGAUCCUGAUUACAGCAAGAAAUGAAAUGAAGAACGUGGAAGUCAUGGCUGUGCAGCAGUUUGGUUCAAGCCUGAGCCACGGUAAAAUAUUCCCACUUACUAAGACAUAAAACAUAAAAUUAUCCUGCUGGAUUAAAUCCUUUGUCCUUCAGAUCCAGCCUUUCAUCUCUGUUGUUGCCACCACAGGAUAAAGGAGAAGUUGAAAGCAGAGCUUUGACUGUCCUUGACCAAGGACUUUGCAGCAGGUGAGGGCUGAAGCCCCACUCUGGUGUAGCACUGAAAGCUGCAUUUCUCCUCCAGCAUCCACUGCCUGUGUCCUGCUCUGAGCCUGUGCUGAGCACAGUGCUGCAUCCAACCUCCUUAAAAUUCAGGUACACACAAAGCCAGAUGAGUGAUCCACAUGCCUGUCAUUAAAUGUGCUGUGCUAGAGGCUCUCAUUUCAUUGUCUUUUUACCCAGGGUGAAAAGAUGGAGCUGUAGCCCCCACAUCCACCCCCCACCCAAAAAAACCCCAAACAAAAAAGCCCCAUCCCCAAAGCUGAAGCCACUUCUUAUAGAAAACAUAGAUUUUUAUUAUAAAAGUACAAUUAGCCAUAUACAAAGGAUUUUUAUGCCACAGAAAUUUGCAUGUUGCAGUCUUAAUAUUAAAAUAAAGUCCUGACCAGGAGCUGAAGUUGAGAGUCUCUCAGGCUGCCUUUGGCUGCACGUUCACCCUGCCACUGCUCCCCUGCAGGUUUGUAACCUGAUCCCACUUUGGGAUCACUUUGGGAUCACUUUGGGAUCACUUUGGGAUCACGGCUGCUUCUCCUCCUCUGUCCGUGGCCGUUUGCGAGGGUUCAGCUCAGUCCCUUCUGUGCUGGCAGGGACAGCUGCAGGCUGCACGUCUCGGAAGCCAUGGGACUGGAAGAUGAAAGGAAAAUCAUGUGCUAAGGCUUGUAGGGAUAGAAAGCAUGAGUAACCAGCUCCCAGGAGAUCAGAAUGAAGGAUCAUGCUGCCAUUUAUUGGGGAGGAGCAGCCACUGAAUGUUUAUAGACCAGGUUAAGCUCAGCACUGCAAACUUUACAACACAUGUGCCAACUCAUGUCUGCUCAUUUUGUUUUUUUAAAGAUAUUUUCUUUUCACCAACCAGACUAUCACUUUCAUUUACUGUUUAUCACCCCUAUGGCUAUGAAAAACUGCUUCUCUGUAAAUUAACUUAUGUUGCCUAUUUAAAUAAAUCAAAAGACAAAUCCAUCAGCUCCCACAGAAGCAAGGAGAUGACUGGAUUAAUUGCCUCAGUCAUUUUCAGAAACAAAACUGUGAAUUUCUACAACCUAGGAUAUUUUUGUUCCAUGUACCUACUUAAUGAACUGAAAACAUCAAUGAGACAUUGUAAGGGAACAGCAGAGCUGAAUCUGUCUCUAGACUGCAAAGACUGUUCCAGCAUAGUAAUUUAUGGGACACAAUGGGAUGAAAACCUUUGACUGCCAAAAACUAAAUGUAGAAGUGAAAACUACAUGCUGCUACUCAGAGGAGUGCUUGAAGUGAUCUAUCUGGCCUAGUACCACUUAUAUUUUCCGUUACUGUAGCUCACAAUUUAAUUUUUAACCAUUUUAAAAUAUGAAAGAUCUCAAAGUCAGUUAGCUAAACAUGCCAUGGAUGCAGAUGGAGAUGAGAUGUUGUGUGAAGCCUGCAACUCUCUGAGUUCCCAUCUCCAGACAAGUGUGUGCAGAGAGCACUGCUGACAGCUCAGUGAAGACUCUCAGUGCAGACUCAGAGAGGAGAAGGCAUUAAUCAGAACACAAAAUUGCUCUGCUGAUCCAAAAUGCUCAGGUAGAGACAAUGUGGGGACGAGAGCAUUUCAGGAACGCUGACAUUUUGGGUUGGUGCAGUGUGAGGAAAGCAGGCAGAAUUACCAUCAGAGGUGACUCUUCCCAAAUGCCAGUGUGUCCCACACCAAGACCAAUCCCAAACCCCAGUAAAUGUCUUGUUUGAGUCUCCCACCCCUGUAUUUCUAUUUCUGAAUGCCUCACCUCACCCAACCCGGGCUUUUUAAAGGAACAAACAGCAAGAGCUGCUACAAGGGCAGGAUCUGUGCAACCCCUCUGCUAUUUAUAAGCAACUCAAGUGUUAUUCUAAAGAGCAUAAUGGGGAAUCUUCAAGUUUAAUGUUUCACUACAUCUAAUCUCUGCCAUUUCCCUGAGGCACAAAGGUGGAUCUGUAGCCAAGUAUCCACUUAAUCCAGAAUGCUGACUCCCAGUGAAAGCAUUCCAAGGGUUACAAGGGCCAGAACAUAAAGCAGGCUGCCCAGGAUGGAUGUUUUGCACUUGGCUACAGGCAGGCACCUUGAAAAGACAAGAAUUUUGUGUAUAUUUGUGAGGUUUGGUAGUGGCUGCUGGAACCAAGGACAAAACUCAGUCUUUCAUUUUGAAUUUCUCCUUAAUGUCCUCUGGAUUUACACCUCUACAGCAAGACUGGCAAGGGUAGAUGUGUUUAUUACCUGAGCAGUGCUCCCACUGCUGGCCUGGCAGACCCUCCACAGCUCAGGGAAACAAUUCCUACCUGGAAUUUAGAUCCUGGGUCUCUGUCUUUCACUAUGAAAUAAUCAGGUCACAUUCCUGGGAAAUUCAGGUGAAUCAGCUGAGCUACUUACUCCCUUGUGCAUAAAUCAAUUUCCAUUGCUAUACUCUGCAUUUAAGAAUGAAUCCUUAUCAGCUUGUGGAAGAAAGGAUUUCAGGGGAGAGGAGUUCCACAGCCCCCUCAGAGUGGUGACUGACUCCAGUGCUGGAAAGGACAGGAUAAAAAAAGCCCAGAGCUCACUCAUGAAUUUACACAUUUCAUCAGCUCAUGGGUACUGAGCAGCCACUUUGCCAAUGGCACCAAUGCACCUCAUCUGCACAAUUCUAAGGAAUUAUUAUUUUUUUAAAUGUCUUUCUUUUUGUUUGCUGGUUAUACACAAAUCUGACUUGGAAACACUGGACAAAUAUUGGCAUCUUUCAGUUUAACUAUGGAAUGAAAAAUGGUAACAGCAGACUGUUGUCAGACCUGGAUUUCAUGAAAGAAAUGGAGAUAAUACAAUUUUUUACUA